GUUGAUGGAAUCAUGAUCUGUUUGUUCUUUCCUAAACUCAUUUCACUUAGGGUUUUGAUUAAUCUAGCCAUGUUAUUAGCUUAAGUAACUUAAGAAGGAUAACGCUUCUUCCCAAUCUAGCUAAACCAACGGUCUCACAACCUCUCAGGCUUUACUGCCGGGACCACUAGACUCCAGGGAUACCUCACACUAAGUCUUAAGGACUUGAAGAUAAUAACAAGGUGAUUAAUGAAAACAGUAAGAAGAAAUAAAGUUGCAGAAAAACAAAAGAUUGAAUCCAACAACUAACUACUGAUUCCAGAACCCUUCCCUCACGGGAAUAGGCUCUGAUACCAGUUUUGACGUAAGCUAAAAAACAUGAUGGAAAAGUACUUACAGAAAAGCUUUUAUUCAAAGAACUGCAGGGUUUACACACAUAGAGAGAGGUAGGUAAGAGAGAGUGUGUGAUCAGAACUAUGUUGACAACAUUCUAUUGUAAAAAUAGAAUCAUCUGCUCUAUUGAAUAAAGUGUGUUGUUUAUAUAUUUCUUUCUUUUUAACUAUAGGGAUUGACCAAUUUUGAAGUGCUCUUUCUAUUGAAGCUAUUUCUAACUCUUGUUGGGCUACCCUAGAGAGUUCUUGAUCUUGGUUACUAGAACCAGAGUUAGAUGUUGAUGGAAUCAUGAUCUGUUUGUUCUUUCCUAAACUCAUUUCACUUAGGGUUUUGAUUAAUCUAGCCAUGUUAUUAGCUUAAGUAACUUAAGAAGGAUAACGCUUCUUCCCAAUCUAGCUAAACCAACGGUCUCACAACCUCUCAGGCUUUACUGCCGGGACCACUAGACUCCAGGGAUACCUCACACUAAGUCUUAAGGACUUGAAGAUAAUAACAAGGUGAUUAAUGAAAACAGUAAGAAGAAAUAAAGUUGCAGAAAAACAAAAGAUUGAAUCCAACAACUAACUACUGAUUCCAGAACCCUUCCCUCACGGGAAUAGGCUCUGAUACCAGUUUUGACGUAAGCUAAAAAACAUGAUGGAAAAGUACUUACAGAAAAGCUUUUAUUCAAAGAACUGCAGGGUUUACACACAUAGAGAGAGGUAGGUAAGAGAGAGAGAGAGGUAGGUCAAAAACCCGAUUCCUCUUACUCUUACUAAGCUACCUAUUUAUACAAGCUUUGACCAUGGUUACUUUCGAAAGUAACUCUGGUUUACAUAAAAGUAACUAUAGUUAAUGAAAAGUAACUUUAAUAAUGAAAGUGGAUAGUAACUUUAAUAAUGAAAGUGGAUUCCUUGUCGGCCAAUAUUAGAAAGCAGAUUCUUUCUUGAUCAUGAUGAGAAGGGUUGAUAAUGACCUUUUGUCCUUAAGUGUAUGGAUGAUAGUUGAUGCCCAAACAGUCAUCUUCAUUUUCUUGAAGGUAGUUCUGGCUGUUGACUGAUGAAGUAUCUGAGCCAGACUUCUGACUCAUCAUAUCUAUCUUCUUUUGAAAUUCUUGGGGAGAGCUUGCUGCGGCUAAUUCGGCUAUGAGCCUUGAUCUUUCUUGAAGAAAUGAACUUUCUUGAUUGAGACUAGAAACAGGGUUAGUUGACAGCUGUUUCUUGCUUUGUUGAGUAAGCUGAUAAGUCUUUAUCCAAGCUUCAAGUUUUGUCUGUUGAAUUAGAGAGAUAUUGAAUUUUGCCCACCAUUUUAUUUUAAAAAUGCGAUAGAGCUGAUAGAGUUCUGUAUCCUCAUAAAUUUCUACAGUUCUCCAAUCCCAGGUUAAAAUCCAAGAUAUGGCUUGCGAAGCUGUGAACAUGAGGAGUUUGUCUUCCAUAAUGAAAUUUGACUUCUGAGCAAAGUACUUGAAUAAUGGUUUUACUUCUUCGGGAAAGAUAGACUCAUCGAGACCUACCUUGCAAAACCAAACUUUAAACCAUUGAGGGAACUUUAAAGAGAUUCCCUUUUUGAACCAAAUGAACCAGGAGUGUUGAUAAGGAUAAAGAUACAAGGCGUAAUACCAGGCAUCUGUAUAAUCAAAGUAGUUAUAACUAGGAGGGUCGAACUGCCUAGAAAACUGCUUAAAAUAAUGAAGAGGAGCAUUCCAAUCCUGGGGUGUAAGGACUUUAAGGAUUUUGAUCUUGGAGAACGCUAUUUCUCCUUGUUUAUCUUGGUUAUGUGUGACUUCUAUGGAGUCAGAGUCUACUAGAAUGAAUUCAUAAAAUAAUCUGGUCUUCUUGGGGUGUCCAGGGACAUAAUGAAAGUUGGUAGGGAAUAAUUGAGUGGCUAUUUCUCUAGGACUUAAAGAGAAAUGUUCUCUUUCUAUAAUGAGAGAUGGCUCACCUUCUGGUUUUUCCAGAUAUUCGGUUGGCUCGGGUUUGGCAGGGGUUUUUGAAGGGCUUUGAGCUAAUACUGUAUAUUUAUUGGUUAAUGGGACUAAUGAGGUUUUUUGGUGAGGUGUUUUGACAAUUUGAGCUGUGGUGAGUUUUUGAGAAGGCUUUGAAGGGGUGGUUGGUAUUGAAGAUCCAGCAACCUUGAUAGGGGUUACUACUAUUGCUUUUGAUCCUGAUGGUGAUGAUGAUCCUGACGAACCCAGUGGGGGUCCAUAUUGAUCCUUUGAUUUGGGUUUUGUAUCACUCAUGUUUUCCUUGUAAAAAUUCUCUGGUUAGAAAAUCUGGAAGGGAGUUACUGUCUCCUUUAAUAUGAGUUAUUUCAAAAUCAAAGCAAGAAAGUAAAGAUUGCCAUCUGGCAAAAAUGUGUUUUGAAACUAGGUUUUGAACAUCCUUUUGUAAAACUGAAGGUGCUGCUUUGCAAUCAGUUUUUAUCAAAAAUUUUUUAUUAAAAACAUCAUCUUGAAAUUUUUGAACACAUAGGACUAUUGAAAGAACCUCUUUUUUGACUGUGGAAUAUUUCUGUUGAGCUGGGUGCCAAAUACCUGAAUGGUACCUAACUAUUUGUUCUUUUGAAGACUGAGGUUUUACCUGCUUAAGUAUCCCACCAUAUCCUAAUUCUGAUGCAUCGGUUUCUAUAAUUAAUGAAGCAUCUGGAUCUGGUAUUCCUAAACAAGGU
rnacentral:lncRNA from 1 species